rnacentral:rRNA from 1 species
UACGUAGGGGGCAAGCGUUGUCCGGAUUUACUGGGCGUAAAGCGCGCGUAGGCGGAAGCUUAAGUGUGGCCUGAAAGCCCCCGGCUCAACCGGGGAGGGCGGUUGCAAACUGGGCUUCUUGAGGACGAGAGAGGCAGGUGGAAUUCCUGGUGUAGCGGUGAAAUGCGUAGAGAUCAGGAGGAACACCGGUGGCGAAGGCGGCAUCCUGGACCAAUUCUGACGCUGAGUGAGCGAAAGCCAGGGGAGCAAACGGG